GGGUCACACUCCUGUCCUCACACCCACUGGACUCAAACACCCCCCUUCACUUUUUACUAGUUCACCUGCUCCAGUUUUGACGAUAUCUGCUGAUGGGUUUGCUGUGACUGACGGCUUGUUAAAUUAAGAUUAUAACAAGACUAAUGGCUACAGCCAUGCUAUAGAAGCUCAGCACAGGCUGUACAAACUAAGUGCGUGUUAGUCAAGCCAACAUGCACAAAGUGAAAACACCAACUACCUGAUGAUGGAGCUACACGACAAAUGUACCCUGAGAGGGUCUUGAAUCUUGGCGCGACAGUUCAGCCAAAAAACGGAUGUCAGACUCACACACAACACGUUGCUACUUAUGUCUCGUGGACUCGCGCACAAACUUUGAAGCGCUCUUUCAUCUUGCUCGUGUUGCUGAACAGUCCACGCUGAGAGAAAGCAUUUCCACGUGGAGCACCUACAGCGGCAGACAACACCGGUUCACCCUUCCGCACACCGCGACUGGAUGGGUCCAUCUAACACAACGUAUGUGCAUGUGAAGAAAAUUCGUAUGUUUUACAGAAAUCCCAUAUGAGUGAUGUGUAUGACUCCAGACGGAUUUGCUAAUUCUUCUGACAAAUGAGUAUCGAUCAUGAACUCUUCAAACUAGGUUGUUUUCUAUAAGCUGAUGGUGUGCUAAUAUUUCAUAUGUUUUUCUGGUUGUAUGACAUGUUGUGAUAGUUUUUUUAAUUUCCUAACAGUAACUAACAUGAAUGAAGUGGCCAAACACCAUUUUUACCUGACUGUCACCAGUAGAAGCAAGUCAGAGACAUAAUGGAGCUCCUCAGGGUGCUGCAAUGGCAUUCAUAGCUAAAUGUGAAGUCAAAGAAAGUGGAAGAAUGGAAGGUUAGAGCGGGUAUGGUCAAGCAGAAUUAUAAACAUACAGUUUGGGGGCUUUUAAAUAGAAAUUGAUGUUGUGGCCAAAUAUAAAAUUUAAGUAUAAAAUUAUAAAGCAGAAAAACACAAGCUGUUUUAGGGUUCUUUACCAAGUAAGAAGGCAUAAGGGCAGCACUUUAUCUGUGCAUGUGUCUUUUCUCCUUAUCAAAGUAACCUCCAUUUAUUUAUUGUUGUGCGAUUACAGUUAGUGAUAAAAAGGUGACCUCAUAACCUCAACGAUAAUUCUUUAUUUAGUGAUUUUUUUCCUCAGUCUUGAAGAAUUUUCUUUUUUAAGUAAAUUUACUUUUAUCUCUAAUCUUGGUAAUUCUGAGUUGUUGAUUUUUUUCUGAGAAAAGUAACCCACCCUUCUGUCGUCAUACUUUUCUUUUCUGUUCUUCUAUUUUCCCCCUCUUUUUUUAAGUUGCCAUUCCUAUUAGCAUAUCCGGGAUGAAAUUUAAUGGCACCAAGAGUUGUUUAUGAGGUCUCAUGUGACGGACUCGGAUUAAUUUGCCAAUUCCUCCCAGGGUGUGUUUGGGUUGCGCAAACUUGUAAGAAAGCCUUCUUUUCCUUUUCAAGACGUCCCUGCGGCGUUUACUGUAAAUAUAAAUGUGGUGUCAGUUAACUGGUUAAAAAAAGGCAGGGCUGCGGUUUUCCAUUCAAAACCACACAGCUGCUGAAGUGUUUCCUUCAUCUUCUUUCCGCCUCUCAUCUCAUCUCUCCGGUCUAUCUCCUGUUCAUCCACAUUAAAGGCAUACUGCUAAUUCAGGAAAGGUUCAGCUCCUGCUUUUAAGCUUUACUGCAUAAUAGGUCAA